rnacentral:rRNA from 1 species
UGGGGAAUAUUGGACAAUGGGCGCAAGCCUGAUCCAGCCAUGCCGCGUGGGUGAUGAAGGCCCUAGGGUUGUAAAGCUCUUUCGACGGGGAAGAUAAUGACGGUACCCGUAGAAGAAGCCCCGGCUAACUUCGUGCCAGCAGCCGCGGUAAUACGAAGGGGGCUAGCGUUGCUCGGAAUCACUGGGCGUAAAGCGCACGUAGGCGGAUUCUUAAGUCAGAGGUGAAAUCCCAAGGCUCAACCUUGGAACUGCCUUUGAUACUGAGAACCUUGAGUUCGGGAGAGGUGAGUGGAACUGCGAGUGUAGAGGUGAAAUUCGUAGAUAUUCGCAAGAACACCAGUGGCGAAGGCGGCUCACUGGCCCGAUACUGACGCUGAGGUGCGAAAGCGUGGGGAGCAAACAGG